rnacentral:rRNA from 1 species
UGCCAGCAGCCGCGGUAAUACGGAGGGUGCAAGCGUUACUCGGAUUUACUGGGCGUAAAGAGCAUGUAGGCCGUUUGAUAAGUCUGAUGUGAAAGCCCACGACUAAAUCGUGGAAGUGCAUUGGAUACUGUCAGACUAGAGUACAGGAGGGGUGAGCGGAAUUCCAGGUGUAGAGGUGAAAUUCGUAGAUAUCUGGAGGAACAACGGAGGCGAAGGCGGCUCACUGGACUGUUACUGACGCUGAGAUGCGAAAGCGUGGGGAGCAAACGGGAUUAGAUA